rnacentral:piRNA from 1 species
ACGAGGUCUCUGGUCCCUUUAUCCUGC